UGGUGUUCGGAUUUCGGGUCG
rnacentral:siRNA from 1 species